rnacentral:piRNA from 1 species
UAGCCCAGGAGUCAAAACAAUUCAGGUCUU